rnacentral:rRNA from 1 species
AUGGGAAGACCUAAGCCAGCCGCCGCCGCUGUCCCUGGGCAGUGCCGGUGGCGCCCUGAAGGAAUCAGGACGUCGAGGAGAACCUCUACUUCGACUACAUCACCCCUGCAUCAAGCCUGCACCAAGCAGGCGAUCAUGUCCACUGCCGUGACAUCUUCCGCUCCAUUUCGGUCCGACACGAUCAAACCACUUACGGGGAGUAACUUCCCUCGUUGGAAGUCCCAAGUUGAAUUAUGUUUGGGUUGUAAUGAAUUUGACUAUGCCUUGAGGGAAGAAAACAUGUGGCACCUGUUGCAGGUGUUACAGGGUAUGCAGAACUAA